rnacentral:snoRNA from 1 species
AACCACGAUGACGAGUUAAGAUGCUUUCUUCUGAGCGUGAAUCGGGUGGUGAGCGACGAGCGAGAUUUUCUGCUCUCUGUCGUUGAUGAACGUUCCUGCUGUGCUUUGCAGUCUGGAAGAAGAAAGCAUGUUCAGAGUGGU